CCUACGGGCGGCAGCAGUGAGGAAUAUUGGUCAAUGGACGAGAGUCUGAACCAGCCAAGUAGCGUGAAGGAUGACUGCCCUAUGGGUUGUAAACUUCUUUUAUAUGGGAAUAAAAUGUUCCACGUGUGGGAUUUUGUAUGUACCAUAUGAAUAAGGAUCGGCUAACUCCGUGCCAGCAGCCGCGGUAAUACGGAGGAUCCGAGCGUUAUCCGGAUUUAUUGGGUUUAAAGGGAGCGUAGGUGGAUUGUUAAGUCAGUUGUGAAAGUUUGCGGCUCAACCGUAAAGUUGCAGUUGAAACUGGCAGUCUGGAGUACAGUAGAGGUGGGCGGAAUUCGUGGUGUAGCGGUGAAAUGCUUAGAUAUCACGAAGAACUCCGAUUGCGAAGGCAGCUCACUGGACUGCAACUGACACUGAGGCUCGAAAGUGUGGGUAUCAAACAGGAUUAGAUACCCCUGUAGUC
rnacentral:rRNA from 1 species